rnacentral:rRNA from 1 species
AUGAAAGGGAUCAUGGGAGACAUCUGUCUCCACAGACAUUAGUAUGAAAUUAGUAAGUAAGUGAAAAUACUUACAGUACGAAAAUAGACGAGAAGACCCUAGAAGCUUGUUUUUCGUUUUGUUGGGGCGACAGAAUUGCAUUUAAACCAAUUUUAUUAUAUAUGACGCAAGCUGGAAAAUUAAGCUACUCUAGGGAUAACAGCAUAAUAAUGAUUUGUUUGUGACCUCGAUGUUGGACUAGGUAGAAUAGUCUUUAAAAGAGACUAAAAAUGCUCUGUUCGAGCAGUUUAACCUACA